ensembl:lncRNA
CUUUUUCUUUUUUCUUUUUCUUUUUUUUUUUUCUUCCCAUUUUUUAAGUGCUUGUAACAUUUCCCCUCAUCGACAAUGAGAUGAGGAGGGAGGGAGGGGUGGCUUAUCUGCCCAGGCAGAUCAGGAAUGGUCACCACCUGUGUGUGCAGUGACAGGUCUGGGAACAGACAAGGGAGAGCUUGUCCGGGAGGCUGGACCCACACACCGAUGCUGCCUGUGCCUGGCAGCUCAGUCCCGGGCUUCGGAACAGACACUGACCAACGGGCUCCUCAGGGUCUCCAGGCCCGGGUCCUGGUCCCUGGCAGAGCUUCCCGUCCGUGGAAAGGAUCACAGGACAGCCUUGCUGGCUCCUUGUGGGGAGCUGGGAUGUGUUUCUAAGAGCAGCAUGCGUGAAGCCCGGGGUUUGGGCAAAGGAGUGUUUGGGGAAGUGUCUGCUGUUGUUGGAGGGUGGGGAGUAGAGGGGAAGGAGGGGCAAGCGGUGGGCUGAGGAGGUGGCUGGCCACCCUUUGGUGGGGACGAGGGGCUAUGGACAGACCUGGAGCCAGCAUCACGUGUCUCUGUCUCCAGAGUCGAGGACGGAGAGCUGCCAGAGAGGCCCUGGCGGGGUGUCUGGGGGCACCUAAAGGACGUGGGUGGAUUAAAGCUGAGGAAAGCCUCAUUUUGGGGGACUCCGUACUUAACCUUUGAGGCCCUCAGAGCUGCAGCCUGUGGUUUUUCGAAGUCAGUCACUUCCCAGGGCCUCCCUCCUGCCUUCAGCGACUGCCAUUUAUCUGGGAGUCUUUGACCCAAGGAGACCUGAAAGGUCAUCUGGUCCCUCUCCUACCCCCAGGCAGGCCACACCUAGACCCUCCCACACAGAUCCGUCCUCACACUUCUGCUGCCUUCCACGAGGGAGGGAGGGAGGGUGGGCGGCCCUCUCACCCAGGCCCUGGUGGCCCCACCCCAGCCAGGAAAUUCUUCCUCUUUAUCUGCCUCACAUCUCUUCCCCUGCGGCUUCCGCCCAUUUCCCCUCAAUCUGCUCCUAGUGGAGCAGCCAGCAGCUGGUUUAAAACCCGGGGGUGGGGGGUGGGGGAGCACUAGACCAGUGCAUCACGUCUGAGUGUGUGCCAGAUGCGCUCCCAUUCCCAUAACUGAUUUAGUAAAGAAAAAAGGAAGUCCAGCAACUUAGCGCGACUUUAAAGUCUGCCUGGAAUGACCCUGUGGCUGCCGGAACCAGGGGCACACGGUAGAUGGGGGGAGCAGGCACAGAGAGGCCUUCGUCCCAGAUCAGUCGCUGUGGCCCUCUUGGAGGCUAGGCUGUCUUUCAAGAACAGGACCCAAGGCCCUGCGAGUGGUGGCCUCCUCUGGAGCCUUUACUGUGGUCCUGGUUCUGCUCUGCAUAAAGAGAGAUGGCUUGAAGCAGAAGCUGCUAUGUGGCUGUCCCAGGUGCCUGGCACAGCUAUGAGGUGGCUCCCUGACUCUGGGUGUGGUUACUCCAAGACCCUUCUCUGGUGGGGCACAAUUCUGGCCCCAGGUAGGGCGACCGUAGCGGACACUUGGGAGUGAAAGGGACCCUUGAAUGACUACGGUGGGACAACAGAUGUGAGCUGGGAUUGUCCCGGGAAGGCUGGAUGUAUGGGCCCCUUGGGCCAGAGGAGACACAGCAGAAAGCUCUGUGGCCGAUGGGACCCAGCAGGAGAAGGGCCGGCCGAGGCUGGGGCAACGUCUUGCCUGCUGUGAAGGGCCUGUGUGAGCUGAUGGCUGACGGUGGGGCGAGGCUGCCUCCUGCCAGGCUAGACCAGCUCCAGGCCACCCAUAUCCCCUUUCCAGAACCAGUGAAUCCGUGGCUAGAAGGGGCUUCAGAAUUGACAGGACACUCAGGGAGUCGAACGGAAUGGCGGGAGUGGCCGCAGCAGGCUCAAGGCCUCCUCUGCUUUGUUUUCUGUGUUCUGUUCCUGGCGUCUAUAUCCUGGGGUUGCUGUGACAGAUGCCACAACCUGGGAGCUUACAAACAUAGCUUCCGGCGGCUCCUGGAGAUUCCCGGCAUUCCUUGGCCUGCAGACGUAUCACCACCAUCUCUGAUCUCUGGCCCCCGUCUCCACGUGACUUUCUCCCCCUGCCUGUGUGUCUUUCUCCUUUUCUGUCUUUUAUGAAGGUGCUCACCAUUGGAUUUAGGGCCCACUGAAUUCAGAAUGAUCUCACCUUGAGAUCCUUACCUUAAUUACAUCUGCAAAGAUCCGUUUUCCAAAUGAGAUCAUGUUCGCAGGUUCCAGGAGUUAGGACUUCAGACAUAUCGUUUUGGGGGACACUGUUGAAACCACUACGUUUAGUAAACUCAGAGUUGGUGCCAGUGUCCCCUGCGGACACCAUAGCAGAUUCUGGAAGCUACUUGUAAAGGAAUCCGUAGGACUUCUUUUCCUUUCUGGCUGUGUAGCUGGGCUUGGGAAAGCUGCUGGUUCAAGCUGGGGCUGGUUCAGCUGGUGCUGGCUUGCCAGGUUGCUCUAGAGCUUUAUCCAGGGAGAAAUUAACAUCACAAAGUUGGGGGAUAAGAGAAGGUUUGGAAUCCCAAGGGCUGACUGUUGAGGUCGGCUGCCCACCCCUUUGUGUUCCAUCUUAGGGGGACCCAGGGCUGCCAGGGCUCCGUUUUGGGAAGGAAUACUGUGGGCCGCUGUGCCCCAUAGGCAGGGUGGAGGGUCCCCUUGCAGCCAGCAAGCUGCUCUUCCUGU